rnacentral:rRNA from 1 species
GUGGGGAAUAUUGGACAAUGGGCGAAAGCCUGAUCCAGCCAUGCCGCGUGUGUGAAGAAGGUCUUCGGAUUGUAAAGCACUUUAAGUUGGGAGGAAGGGCAGUAAGUUAAUACCUUGCUGUUUUGACGUUACCGACAGAAUAAGCACCGGCUAACUUCGUGCCAGCAGCCGCGGUAAUACGAAGGGUGCAAGCGUUAAUCGGAAUUACUGGGCGUAAAGCGCGCGUAGGUGGUUUUGUAAGUUGGAGGUGAAAUCCCUGGGCUCAACCUGGGAACUGCCUCCAAAACUGCAUGACUAGAGUACGGUAGAGGGUAGUGGAAUUUCCUGUGUAGCGGUGAAAUGCGUAGAUAUAGGAAGGAACACCAGUGGCGAAGGCGACUACCUGGACUGAUACUGACACUGAGGUGCGAAAGCGUGGGGAGCAAACAGGAUUAGAUACCCGAGUAGUCC